rnacentral:rRNA from 1 species
GAUGAACGCUAGCGGCAGGCCUAACACAUGCAAGUCGAGGGAUAAGCCUUCGGGCUAAGACCGGCGCACGGGUGCUUAACGCGUAUACAAUCUGCCUUUUAUCCGGGGGAUAGCCCGAAGAAAUUUGGAUUAAUACCCUAUGGUAUAAGAGCACGGCAUCGUGCACUUAUUAAAGCUACGGCGGUAAAAGAUGAGUAUGCGUUCUAUUAGCUAGUUGGAGAGGUAACGGCUCCCCAAGGCGACGAUAGAUAGGGGUUCUGAGAGGGAUGUCCCCCACACUGGUACUGAGAUACGGACCAGACUCCUACGGGAGGCAGCAGUGAGGAAUAUUGGACAAUGGUCGGAAGACUGAUCCAGCCAUGCCGCGUGCAGGAUGACGGCCUUAUGGGUUGUAAACUGCUUUUGUAAGGGAAGAAUAAGGAGUACGUGUACUUUGAUGACGGUACCUUACGAAUAAGCAUCGGCUAACUCCGUG